rnacentral:tRNA from 1 species
GGGAGUGUAGCUCAGUCGGCAGAGCACUUGCCUUACAAGCAAGCGGUCACAGGUUCGAUCCCUGUUGCUCCCACCA